CUUCUCUUGUCUUCACGUUUCUUGAUCUACUUAGUUUUCCUUUCUCUGAUUCUUCUCCUCACGUUACUGGAACAGUGGAGCUGAGAUCUUUCGUCAUUCUUUCUGCCUCGGUUUUAUGCGUUUCGAGUUGUUGCUAUUACCGCUUUGUCUUUUCAUGGUUGGACUUGUGGUGCUUCUGGCGAAUUUUGUCUGAUUUGAGAGAGCUAUUACUCAUUAAAAGUAGAAUCUUUUGGAGAUUGAUGAGAUCUGCUGCUUAAAUUUUAGAUUUCUUCUUUUUUAUUUUCAUUCUUUGAGAUCGAGUUUAUUUUCUUUCGCGCGGAGCUGACAAUGGCAGGUGAAGGAUUUUUUAUUCAAGAUGAUGAACGAGCUAGGAAAUCUGAUUAUGAGACGUCUGAGGACGAGAGGAGGAGGACGAGAAUCGGAUCUAUCAAGAAAAAGGCAAUGCACGCUUCAAACAAGUUUUCACACACUCUCAGGAAACGAGGUAAGCGAGUUGGCGACUGUCGGUUGCCAUCUGUGUCAAUCGAAGAUGUUCGAGAUGCAGAGGAGGAAGAAGCGGUCAAUGCAUUUCGUCAGGCUCUGCUCAAGAAAGAUCUUCUUCCUGCCCGCUUCGAUGAUUAUCACACAAUGAGGAGAUUUUUGAAAGCAAGAAAAUUUGAUCUUGAAAAAACUGUCCAGAUGUGGGCAGAAAUGCUCAAGUGGAGAAAAGAGUAUGGAGUGGAAUCUAUCGUACAGGAUUUUGUUUUCGAUGAAAGUGAAGAGGUUCAAUGUUAUUACCCUCAAGGUUACCAUGGAGUGGACAAAGAGGGAAGACCUGUAUAUAUUGAGAGACUUGGCUUAGUUGAGCCUACUAAACUUAUGAAUGUUACCACAAUAGACCGGUUUUUAAAAUACCAUGUUCAAGGGUUUGAGAAGACCUUUUCAGAGAAGUUUCCAGCUUGUUCUAUUGCUGCGAAAAGGCAUAUUGACUCGUCAACAACAAUUUUGGAUGUACAAGGAGUGAAUUGGAUGAGUUUCAGCAAGGUUGCACAUGAUCUGGUUAUGCGCAUGCAAAAAAUUGAUGGUGACAACUAUCCUGAGACAUUGCAUCAGAUGUUCAUUGUUAAUGCUGGGAGUGGUUUCAAACUGCUAUGGAAUACCAUAAAAGGUUUUCUUGAUCCAAGAACUACCUCAAAGAUACAUGUUUUGGGGAAUAAAUACCAGAAUAAACUGCUGGAAAUUAUAGACUCAAGCCAACUGCCAGAUUUCCUAGGUGGCUCUUGUUCAUGCCCAAAUGAAGGAGGGUGCAUGCGAUCUAAUAAGGGACCGUGGGAUGAUCCAGAAAUAAUCAAGCUGGUACAUUAUGGAGAAGCUUCAUAUUUGACAAAAACUAGCAGUAUUUUUUAUGGGGACAAUGUCCAACUUAAAAUAUAUGCCUCUAAGAUUGUAAGUAAUGAAAUAUCCUCUGCUGAGUCAGGAUCAGAAGUUGAAGUCUCAUCAACUGGGCUAAGAACUUCUGCCUUCGUACAAUUACCAACACUCCAUGAAGAAUUUUCUCAGGAAAGAAUAGACGAUCUUUUAGCCCUUCGCAGUCAGGCUGAAUCAGUUGGUACUGCUACCACAGUUAAAGAUAUCAGCUCAACAGAUGAUUCAACUGAUAAUGUUACGGAAAGAAGACCGAGGAACUACAUUUCUCAUUUAACAAGUUUAGUGUCGCAGUUCUUACUUAAAGUGUUAGCUGCCCUACAUAUUGUACAUUUUGGGUUCCGCAAGAUUGUUGCAGUAAAUAAUGACAGGACACGGUUGGAAAACCAACCUAAUCCAGAAUCAGCUAAUCCAAGUUCUGAAGACCAGCUUGCUUUACGGGCUGCUAGGGAAGACUUAAUCCGUCCAUGUUUGCAGAGGCUUCAAAGUUUAGAAGCAUUGGUAACUGAACUGACCAAUAAACCAGUGAAAAUCCCUCCAGAGAAAGAUAACAUGCUUCUGGAGUCAUUGAAUCGUAUUAAAUCUAUAGAAUAUGACUUACAGAAGACAAAGAAAGCACUACAUGCAACAACAUCGAAACAAGUGGAGCUUGCAGAAUCACUGGAGAUUUUGAAAGAAACCAACCUAAGGAGAAACUCUUGCUGGUUUAAGAUUUGCAAACCUAUUCCCCCUGGAAGCUGAACGGAUUUGGAAACAUCAAACAAGAUGGAGGCACCAAGCUGCUGCAGAAGGUCCCUUGUCUCAUAUUUUCUGAAAUGCUGAUGUUAACUAACCUUGGUCAAACUGCCGGAAUGGGUUUCUUCACUAGUUCGAGAAUUGUUCAGGUGUUUGACGUAGGCAGGAACUCACCAUAACCUGGGGGCAAAGAGAUGCAACUGUUUCCCCACUGAAAAUGAUAUACAAAGUAUUCAUGGUCAUAUGCUGGCUGCUUCUGCAUCAAUUUUUUCUGGGAUAUUUUAUGUAUAUCUUGACUCAUUUCAUUUGUAUUAAGUAAUA